UUACCAUCAACCAUACAAACUUACUUUACAAAAUUAACUCAAACCCUAACUUUGAAUCUCACACCUUCGUCGCCAGAAAAAUUGGGCAUCUCCUCCGCCUGCCGCCGUAAACCUCCUCCGCCGCCAUUCCCUGGAGAGACACUCUGUCUCCGCCGCUGUUCCCGUAAACCUCCUUCGCCACCUCGACAAACAGUUCCACCCGCUGCGCCGCCUCUUCUCUCUUCGGCGCCAGGUGAUUCGCCAGCGCUGCCCCUUCCCUCUGCCUCAAUCGAUCUAGCGCGAGACGAUUCAAACGAUCGGACGCGGCCCGCAGUAGCAGGAAACGCGAGCAGAUGCGUCGCCGCGUCACACGCAUCAGGUCUUCCGGGAGCAGACCUUAACCUCCACGGAACUCAACCCAUCUAAUUCAAUUAAUCUGAUUCAAGGAAGAGUAUCAAUUUUUAGCUUCGUCUUCAGGAUGAACGCCUACAGCAGCUGCUUCACCUAUUGAAUAUCGUGAAUGCUAUGUGCUUGGUGCUUGGGAUGAACUUCAAAUCAACAAUUUGCAGUGUGCAUCCGUCUCUGGACAAUGCAUGUGAAAGAAAAAGUAUAAGUGCAGAUACAAUUCAAGGUUUAUCUGCUAUGAUAUGUAGGCUUAAGAAUGUUAAGUUACAGCGCAUGCAAACGGUAUGCUUAUUUUCAAGUCAACUUUCUUUGUAGCAAUCUAUCGUCUCUCAUAAUGGCAUUGGCACCACCAUUACCUUUCCCUCUCUUCACAAGGUAAGAUUUUUGUUGUUUUUCAAUGAGAAUAAAGUACAAUUAAUUACGAAUCAGAAAGCAUAGAGCAUCACAUGAUAUAGGUGUUUGUGUCUUGUAUACAAUGCAUUUGACUUGUGUGAAAGCUUAUAGGCUGUUGAUUCUAUAUGAAUAAAAAGAUUAUGACAUUCAUCUAUUCUCUGCGUUUCUUGGAACUGAACAUGUAUUGUUGGUUGUCUAGCAGUAAUAGGAAGAGUAAGAAUGAUGAAAAUACCUUGUUGGUUGGCUGUUUUGUUGGUUAUGAUGGUAGCGGGAAUUCUGAAAUAAAUGAAGGAGGGAUUUAGAAUGAGGUGAAGAAUGUUUAAGCUAAUAUGUUUGGAUACUCUGCCGCCAUGAUGCUUUGUUGAGUCUGUGUUGUUCAUAUAAAUGUUGUUACUGCACUACUUCUUGAUUCCUUUUGUUUCAUUGUAUAAGGUCUCAUAAAUGACUAGCACAUCUUCACAUGAUCAAAUACUUUUCUUCCUUCUUUUUGUUGUAAAUAAACUGUCAAAUUUAAUUUCUUACAUUGCUAGACUAUAUUAAACCAUUUUCAUCCUCUUUAUCCUUCAAGUAUUUGUGUGAUACAUGGCCAGCAAUAUAUUUUACUUAAUAUCUUUGCUUUUAGAUUGUUUUUAGUGACACAUUGCCUUACCAACACUGUUUCUGAAUAUUGAAAAUUCAGAAUAUUUUAUUUUAAUCUCAACUAUUUCACAGGCAAUUAAUUAAAAUGAAAAUUCAAGACUUCAUAGUUGAAUUUAGUCAUAAUGCUUGCAAGAUGGAAAUGAGUUAAAUUCACAGUUGAAUUUAGUCAAAAAGCAUGAAAAAUGAAGUUUGUUGGACAAUCUCUAAUAUAACUGUUGGUAACAGAGCUCAAAUUCAGGUACUUGGUUCAUACGUUGCAUAAUUGUUUGACUCUUAAUUCGUAUGUUCUAUUAUAGGAUGGUAAGCUGAAUUCACUAGAAGACAAGCAGGUUCGGGUUUUGCUUCAAAUGAGAUGUUCUUGUUUGGGCAGUUUGUGGCUUUUUAUGUAAGUCCAUAUAUAAUAUUAAUGUCUUACUAAGUGAUGAUAUUUAGUUGUUUGGGCAGAUGGUGAUUUACCUAUUACUAUGGACAGGUUAUGAUGAGAUUAUUUGUUAACUUGUAAUGAAAAUCACAGCUCUAUUAUUUUCUCGACUUGUGUUAUGUUUGAGAUGUGCAGGAUAGGAAGCUUGGGAUCAAUUCAAUGAAUUGGGUAAAUCAUCAAGAUUUAGUACCUUCACAAUGCAUCAGACUUAGAAUUCAUUGCGUUUGAUUUUCAGAUUUCAUUUCGCAUU